GGUAUCUAUCUCCGGGUGGGGGACAACGGUUGGAAACGACUGCUAAUACGCAUGAUGCCCGAGGGCCAAAGGCGUAAGUCGCCUGGAGAGGAGCCUGCGUACGAUUAGCUUGUUGGCGGGGUAAUGGCCCACCAAGGCGACGAUCGUUAGCUGGUCUGAGAGGAUGAUAGCCACACUGGGACUGAGACACGGAGACUCCUACGGGAGGCAGCAGU
rnacentral:rRNA from 1 species